AUGCCAGAGUGGUUAAUGGGUGAGACUAGAAAUCUCAUGGGCUCUGCCCGCGCAGGUUCAAAUCCUGCUG
rnacentral:tRNA from 1 species